rnacentral:rRNA from 1 species
CACGUAGGGCGCAAGCGUUGUCCGGAAUUAUUGGGCGUAAAGAGCUCGUAGGCGGUCUGUCACGUCGGAUGUGAAAACUCGGGGCUCAACCCCGAGCCUGCAUACGAUACGGGCAGACUUGAGUUCGGCAGGGGAGACUGGAAUUCCUGGUGUAGCGGUGAAAUGCGCAGAUAUCAGGAGGAACACCGGUGGCGAAGGCGGGUCUCUGGGCCGAUACUGACGCUGAGGAGCGAAAGCGUGGGGAGCGAACAGG